UACGUAGGGGGCUAGCGUUGUCCGGAAUCAUUGGGCGUAAAGAGCGUGUAGGCGGUCCGGUAAGUCCGCUGUGAAAGUCGGGGGCUCAACCCUCGGAUGCCGGUGGAUACUGUCGGGCUCGAAUCCGGAAGAGGUGAGUGGAAUUCCUGGUGUAGCGGUGAAAUGCGCAGAUAUCAGGAGGAACACCAAUGGCGAAGGCAGCUCACUGGGACGGUAUUGACGCUGAGACGCGAAAGCGUGGGGAGCAACAGG
rnacentral:rRNA from 1 species